GAGUUUGAUCCUGGCUCAGAACGAACGCUGGCGGCAGGCCUCAAACAUGCAAGUCUAGGGGGUGUAGCAAUACAUCACCGGCGGACGGGUGCGUAACGCGUGGGAAUAUACCUAUUGGUUCGGAACAACUGAGGGAAACUUCAGCUAAUACCGAAUGUGCCCUUACGGGGAAAGAUUUAUCGCCAAUGGAUUAGCCCGCGUAGGAUUAGCUAGUUGGUGGGGUAAUGGCCCACCAAGGCUCCGAUCCUUAGCUGUUCUGAGAGGAAGAUCAGCCACACUGGGACUGAGACACGGCCCAGACUCCUACGGGAGGCAGCAGUUGGGAAUCUUGGACAAUGGGGGAAACCCUGAUCCAGCCAUGCCGCGUGAGUGAUGAAGGCCUUCGGGUUGUAAACUCUUUCGACGGGGACGAUAAUAGGCGGUACCCGUAGAAGAAGCUCCGGCUAACUUCGU
rnacentral:rRNA from 1 species